rnacentral:lncRNA from 12 species
AAUGGCUUCAUCUUUGAGUCUGUGUGUGUGAGCACACGGAUUGCUUGAGAGUAACCAGAUCCAUAAGGAUGUUCAAAAGAAAGCUUGUAUUGUCCUAUGUCUUGAAGUUCCACGACUGGAGCCCCCUCCCUGGCUUCAAUUUUGGUGCGGUCUCUGCAAAGGUAAUGCUCCCUGGGUUUGUGGAGAAGCUUAAGCACCCGAAUGCCCCCACCCACCACUCCCAAAUGAAGUAUAUAGUUGCCAGAUGUACCGUAAUUCCUGCCAAUGGCUCCUAAAUGAGCUGCCACUCAUAAAAGAAGGGAAAAAAAAAAAAAAAGGUCUCUCCUUUAAAUCAAAUAUUAAAUUAAAACCUUUCCCACUGUCUUGUAGGAGUCCUGGUUCCAGGCCAUCUGCCAAUUUGCAGGAGCUCCAGCCUCUUCUGAGUUACCGUUUUCUGAUCAAAUCAGGACCUGAAACUGAGAGUCACAAGUUGGUCAGUCAUGUGCCCCGGGGCCUCUAUGCCACUGGAACGGAGCCCACUGCACCGUACUCUUCUAUAUUGCUUUUACUAACUAGUUUCUUCAGUAGAACAAAGCUGAAGACUCUAGAUAAACUGAUACAAUUGGGGAUGACAGACCUGUGCAUGUGGGUUGUUGGAUAAACAGAGAAAUAG